rnacentral:ncRNA from 1 species
CAAAGGCUUGGUCCUGACUUUUCUGUCAGCUUUAACUAGACUUAUACAUGCAAGUAUCCGCCCACCCGUGAGAAUGCCCUCUAGUCUUCUGCCCGAAGACACGGAGCAGGUAUCAGGCACUAUUAUUUAAGCCCAUGACACCUUGCUUAGCCACACCCCCAAGGGAACUCAGCAGUAAUAAACCUUAAGCUAUAAGUGAAAACUUGACUUAGUUAAAGUUAAGAGGGCCGGUAAAACUCGUGCCAGCCACCGCGGUUAUACGAGAGACCCAAGUUGACAGAAGUCGGCGUAAAGAGUGGUUAAGAGUAAUUAUAAACUAAAGCCGAACACUCCCAGAGCUGUUAUACGCAUCCGGGAGCCAGAAGCCCUUAUACGAAAGUAGCUUUAACUCUUCUGACCCCACGAAAGCUGGGAAACAAACUGGGAUUAGAUACCCCACUAUGCCCAGCCCUAAACUUUGACAGCAUUACACACCUGCUGUCCGCCUGGGUACUACUAGCAUCAGCUAAAAACCCAAAGGACUUGGCGGUGCUUUAAACCCCCCUAGAGGAGCCUGUUCUAGAACCGAUACCCCCCGUUAGACCUCACCCUCUCUUGUCUUUCCCGCCUAUAUACCGCCGUCGUCAGCUUACCCUGUGAAGGCCCUAUAGUAAGCACAAUUAGUACAACUCAAAACGCCAGGUCAAGGUGUAGCAUAUGAGAGGGGAAGAAAUGGGCUACAUUUUCUACCUUAGAAUAUACGGACAAUGAAAUGAAACACCAUUAGAAGGAGGAUUUAGUAGUAAGCAAAAAACAGAGUGUUUUGCUGAAGCCGGCCCUAAAGCGCGCACACACCGCCCGUCACUCUCUCCAACUGUUAACCAUAUUACAUAAAAAAUAUUAUAAGUAAAGGGGAGGCAAGUCGUAACAUGGUAAGUGUACCGGAAGGUGUACUUGGACAAA